GGAGGGUGCGAGCGUUAAUCGGAAUUACUGGGCGUAAAGCGCGCGUAGGCGGCUAGGUCAGUCGGAUGUGAAAGCCCUGGGCUUAACCUGGGAAUUGCAUCCGAUACUGCCUGACUAGAAUAUGGGAGAGGGAAGUGGAAUUUCCGGUGUAGCGGUGAAAUGCGUAGAUAUCGGAAGGAACACCAGUGGCGAAGGCGACUUCCUGGCCCAAUAUUGACGCUGAGGUGCGAAAGCGUGGGUAGCGAACAGGGAUUAGAUACCCUGGUAGUCCACGCCGUAAACGAUGAGAACUAGAUGUCGGGAGGAUUUACCUCUCGGUGUCGCAGCUAACGCGUUAAGUUCUCCGCCUGGGGAUACGGUGGCAACACUA
rnacentral:rRNA from 1 species